AUAAGAAACAGUUGAUGAAGAUUUGUGUGUAGCAAACGAAGAAGUGUGAGAAAAUCCCCAGAACUGUGAGAAGCUACUGGAAUAAUAUAAGGAUGGAUCUAAUCUGGUUGAAUUCUGACUGCCACAUUACUGGGGAUUGAACUCAAGGCCUCCUGUAUGCUAGCUAGUCUCUACUUCUCAAGUACACCCCCAGCCCUCAUUACAUUCUUAAAAAUGUUCAUAGCAUCUUGCAAGAGGAGUCUUUUUACCACUUGGGACCUCAGUCAAGAAAUGUACUUAUUAUGUCAGGGUCUCCAGCCGUGGGGAACAUGCUGAUCCACUGGACCCCUGCCACGACCACCACCUCUGGCCUCUUGGCUGUACUGCCCCCUGGUUCCACACUACAAAGACACAGAGGACAUUGGACCAGCAGACCACUGUACUGGGUAAGUUGGAAUGAUCAUCACUGCCCAUCUGAACUGGGACUAUCUUCAGGGGAAGGGCAAGUGGAACCUGCAGUACAACCCUCCAGAGUUCAACCCUACAAGAGGACAAGGAGCUCAACUUGGGACUUGCAGCCAGAAAUCUGCCUGAAUCUCACAGGUCUGUGACUGGCGUGCUGAGACUCAUUGACUUAUAUGUGCACACUGCUACCCACGUUGUCUAUUGUGACAACAGAGACAUACCCUGAAAGAAGCCUUUCAUUUUCAUUUUUAUUUUUUAUUUCCAAAAUUAGUAUUAUUGGUUUUUUUUCUCUUUUCUUUUCUUUUUCUCCUCUUAUCUUUAAUACUUUUCCUACUCUUUGCAAAUUUUUGUUUUUCUCUCCUUUUGUUUUUCUUUCUUUUCUCUUUCCUUUCUCUCUCUCUUACACUCACUCUCUUAUUAUUCCACAUUGUUC
rnacentral:lncRNA from 1 species